rnacentral:rRNA from 1 species
UACUUCGCGCCCGAGUAUGCCAUCGUUGGCAAGGCGUCGCUCCAGUCGGACGUGUUCAGCUUCGGCGUGGUGGUGCUGGAGCUCAUCACCGGCCGGAAGCCCGUGCACAAGAGGGGCGGCGCGGACGAGAACCUGGUGAUGUGGGCAACGUCGCGGCUGCGGGACAGCAGGCCGGUGGUGGCGGAUCUGCCGGACCCAGCGCUGAAGGGCGCGUUCCCGUCCGAGGAGAUGCAGAUCAUGUGUUAG